rnacentral:rRNA from 1 species
ACAACAGUUGGAAACGACUGCUAAUACCGCAUAAGCCCACGGCUCGGCAUCGAGCAGAGGGAAAAGGAGCAAUCCGCUUUGAGAUGGCCUCGCGUCCGAUUAGCUAGUUGGUGAGGUAACGGCCCACCAAGGCGACGAUCGGUAGCCGGACUGAGAGGUUGAACGGCCACAUUGGGACUGAGACACGGCCCAGACUCCUACGGGAGGCAGCAGUGGGGAAUAUUGCACAAUGGGGGAAACCCUGAUGCAGCGACGCCGCGUGGAGGAAGAAGGUCUUCGGAUUGUAAACUCCUGUUGUUGAGGAAGAUAAUGACGGUACUCAACAAGGAAGUGACGGCUAACUACGUGCCAGCAGCCGCGGUAAAACGUAGGUCACAAGCGUUGUCCGGAAUUACUGGGUGUAAAGGGAGCGCAGGCGGGAAGACAAGUUGGAAGUGAAAUCCAUGGGCUCAACCCAUGAACUGCUUUCAAAACUGUUUUUCUUGAGUAGUGCAGAGGUAGGCGGAAUUCCCGGUGUAGCGGUGGAAUGCGUAGAUAUCGGGAGGAACACCAGUGGCGAAGGCGGCCUACUAGGCACCAACUGACGCUGAGGCUCGAAAGUGUGGGUAGCAAACAGGAUUAGAUACCCUGGUAGUCCACACUGUAAAC